UUUCCUAGCCCCUCCCCAACAGUCCACAAGGAUUCAUUCUGAAUCCCUCCCCAGCUCCAGAAUUCUGUGAUUCUCUCAUUUAAAAGUAAGGAUCGCCCAGAUUGUCUUUCUCCUUCAAAGCCGGUGGAUCGACUCUGAUGGAACGACAAGUUCCCCGCCGCCUUCCCUUCCCUUCCUUCCCCUUCCGAGAUCAGGAACCCUUCUGGACAAAGUACAGUGAGUUCAAAAAGUCAGCCCUUGGACGCACUAUCAGUUUAGGCUGUUGUUCCAAAGUCAAAGGCACCGCAGGAAGGAAGCUCCAGAAGUAUUUGUUGGAAGCCCUGGGCCUGCAGUGGCUCUGCUUGGAUUUCUGCCUGGAAGUGAUUUCCUUGACCAUUUGAACCUGAAAACACGGUGUCGGACAGCCUCUUAUCGAUCCCGUCCAGAACCUCCCCGAAGAUGUCCAGCAAGACCACCAACACCAACAGCGUGGCCCAGGCCCGGCGAACCGUGCAGCAGCUGAGGUUGGAGGCGUCCAUAGAGAGGAUCAAGGUGUCCAAGGCGUCUGCGGACCUCAUGUCCUACUGCGAGGAGCAUGCCCGGGGGGAUCCUUUGCUCAUGGGAAUCCCGACUUCAGAAAACCCCUUCAAGGAUAAAAAAACGUGCAUCAUCUUAUAGGGCGUUGGGGAGCCCCCGGUGCCGCCCCCAUGAUCUAAGCAGCUCCAUGAAGAAACGUACCUUCCGCUCACUUGGUAACCACUGCUAAAAACGAAAAUGCUUUUAACUUGUAAAAACAAACAAACAAACAAAAAAUGAGUUUUAAAGCCUUUGUUUUUAAAAGUCUCCCUCUCUUUAGAGCAUACCCUUUACAAAAUGGAUGGGAAUCGGUCCGUUUGUCCUUGGUUUCAGUUGAAAUGACUCCAGGUGGUUCUUCUCUUAGGUCGGCUUCGGUUUGAGGGAUGCUGGUUGGGCUCGGCUUCUGUGUAAAUCCAUUGUCCAGUGAUCUGCUUUUUGAUUUGAGGGAAGACCAAAGUUGCCUCCUCCUCUUUCCAGAUCCCCCAGGCCCGCGGGUCUCUAAAACGCUUGCCCCCUCAGCACCCGUAAUCGGCCCGGUGCCUCUCUGUACAGUCCCCAAGUCUCGCAUGUGUUUGGCGUGUAUAUAUGACUUUGUAUAUAUACAUUUCAAAGUGCAGAUUUUCUAGCCCCCCGCCCCCGAGUUCUGCCUCUAGCCGGCCACCAAGGCCUCCGCCUACGGCUUCGGGGUGACGGGGACGGCCGCCCCCCAAGAGUCGUUUUCACGAUACCAAAUUCUGAUCACUUUCUCAUCGUCGUCACCCUCUUGUUUGCUUCUCUGGCCCUCACGGCCUAAAUAUAAACGGUGCCAAUUUAAGAGAGCGAAAAACAAACCCCUCUUGUAAUUCGAGGUGCUACGCUGUGAGGGCCCCCUUUGCUUUUACGGACCCAGCGCAGUCAGGAUACAGAAUCUCAAAAUCCCAGAGCCGGAUUGUCCAACCCGUGCCUAAACACGUAUCCUUUCUGUCACCCCUCCGGACAGGUCAUCCGCCUGCUCUGCCGGAGACCACGGACACCUCAGAGUUUUGUUUUUAAUUCAUAAAAUAAAAUUUAUAGGAUUACAACAAAGGAAAGCAGUUAUACCGAAAUUAUCAAAAUAGGAAAAAAAAAACAAGUUUAUGGACCCUCGUUAAAACCCCGGUCUAAUCCAGCCCAUUCCCCAUCUACACUAAGAAGUGGUCAUUGCUCAAAAACCUCCAUAAAGGUGAACCUCGCAAGGUGACCCAUUGGGAUAACCCAAAGGGCUAGGAGAUUUUUCCUAACCUCAAACCUAAAUUUGCUUCCCCUUGUUGCUCCUCGUUCAACCUUCCAAGGUCAAGCAGAAGGAGGGGAAGUGUAUUCAUGGGCCCAGUGACCAGAGAAGGGAGGUUGCAUGAAUGUGGUUUUCUCUACAAAAAAGGAAAUCAAUUAGCCUGCUAAUUGGGGGAGUCCGCCUCCUUCCUCUUGUAGGUCCAUCCAUUCUCUCUCCUCCCUCCCUUCCUCUUCCCUAAAUCUUACCUGUGUGUGGGUCUCCUCUCCUCCUCCCCUUACCUAAUCCCAGUUUGUAGAACCGCGGGCAGAAAAGGCCCAAGAUGUUGGUGGAGUGUCCCAUUCCUAGCAGCCCACCCUGCCCUGCUCUUCCUGGAGGCAAGACUAAGCAGUGUGAGAGAAGGCAACCCCCCCAAUAGAAAUACAAAGUAAAGAAGUCACCUUUCAUUCCCCCUCCCACUCAGGUCACUGCAGAGCUGAGCAGAGGACGUCCUGGGGACUUUUGGCUGGACUUAAAUGGCCCCCUCUGGGCCCAGCCCCUCCAGGCAGGUCAGGAGGGUCCUUAUGGACACAGACUGUGCACUGACUGCGCUAGACGCAUGGCAAUUCCCCUUCCCUCAUCUGUCACUCUGGGAGGCUGAUGCACUCUGACCCCUCACAGGCUUGAGCUGGGAGCCUUGGAGGCUCUCCAGAAAUGCGACUUGUUAGAAAAAUUCUUUACGAAUCCCAGUGGCCACGAACGCUGCUCCGGAAAGCCAGCCAAGGGGAUUCUGUCUAAUGGGCCCUUAGCAGACGCUCUUGGAGGCAGCAGCCCCUUUGAGGAGUGCUUUGUUCUAUCUGGGAGAAAAACCCUCCACAUCUGGAUUGAUCGUGGCCAUCAGACAGAUUCCCCUGCCUUCUUGUGGCGACUGUUGUGGAGGUUGGGAGCUUUGCCCUUCGUGCCUGGGAUUCGCCAUCACCCCUCACUACCAGCUUUGAAAACCGCUGCUCAGUGCUAUGGUUUGUCCCAUCCCCAAGUAAACGGAGGGCCUCCCCUCCCCAUGUCCAAAGCAAAAGGGUUACCCCCCCCUUCCAAAGCAUUAACUCGGCUGCGUAGAUGGGGAAAAAACCAUUCUCCCGGCCCCGACCCCCUCCUCACACUCUCCUCUUCUUCAAUGAUCUUAUUUUUGUAACGACCAUUUCCCAACUUAAUCCGUAUUUUCCAAUCUGAUUUUAACCACUAAUCAUGUAGAAUGCAGCCUGUUGCAAAAAGUGCAGUAGAGCUUGAUUCCAUGGGGACCCCGCCACUGAGGGUAGUCGCCCCUUACUCCGUAGUGUUAAACGGAUCCUUUAAUCUCUUAUUUCUAGUACUGGGCUUGCCCCGGCCAGGUCUGGCCCCUCUACCCCGCUCCACCUGCUCCUCCCCUGGCCUGCUGGAGAGCCUCCAGGCCUUCAAGCAUGGGCUCAGCUGCCCAACCAGCAGCCAAAGCCAAAUGACCCCAGAUCUAGACCUUGGCUUCUGGACCAAGACCGAAGUAAUAAUUCAGUGUUGACGGACCUAGAACCAAAAACAUUGUUGAUGUACCUAGAACCAAAAAGAUUAUAUGAGGAAAGAUAAUAUAUAUGUCUAUGCUAAACAGAAGUACAGAAGUCCCUUUUAUUUAACCGGCUCGAUCCCCCUUGUAAGGUUCAGCCGCUCUCGGAGCAGCUGCUGUGAUGAUUUGGGGCAGAUGUCUGGGUGUAUGACACCGUAAUGUUGACAGAGAUAUACGCCCACAGAUGUGUAUAUAUAAACUGUAACCCUCUGGCUUGGUUAUCACUGCACUUUCUACAGCGUGGGUUCAACGUAUGAACUUUGAUGGUAGUUUUGCCAAUAUGCUGUUUUCUCGGUUCGUCCCUUUCCCUCCAUCAUUCCAACACGUCUGUACAGUUUUUAUUUAAACUCGAGGUCUCAGUGCCAUGACCAUGUGCUAAAUAGAAUUUAUUGGUCCCAAAAUCUUUUACAGAAACACCUUUUGGACAGGGGAAAUAUUUUAUGUACCAGAUAAUCGAUUAACAAGUGAUACACUGUGUCUGCUUGCUCUUUUUUCCUACAAAAUCUGGUUUUUAAGUUCCCUGGGCGAAUUAAAAUCAAAAGUGCCAUAUUCACCUUUUAGAGAAAAGGUCUGGUGUUUGCUUUCAGCCCAAUUGAGACAAUUUUUAUACUUUUUUCAUCUAAACCACCAGAAGAAAAAUUUAUACCAAUAUUUUAGUGUAUAUAAAUGUGCAUAUGUUUUAACAGAUUCAUAGAGAUUUAUGGAAAUGCAGAGGCAUCUUUAAACCUGAGGCAGAGGCUAGAAAAACAAAUGGUGGAGGAUAUGUUCAGCUGUCUUUUCAGUUCUGUUAUAGCUAACUUUCUCGAUUUUAAAUGAAACGAGAAAAAUGGCAUUUAGCGAUCCGGUUACCCUGAAUUUCUUUUUUCUUUUGAGCUAAAACCUUCGAAAAGAUUCAUGGGCUUAGGAAGUGAAUUCUAACAUAAAUUAAUCCUUCCUUGCUGUCCGCCCUUAUACCAAAAGAUGAAUAUAUGACUAAGUGAGUGAGUAACAAUUCUCAAAGCUCUAAUUCGAAUAAUUAUGAGAAAAUCGAAUCUGGAAACUUCAGAUCGAAAUCUAUAAUUCCUGGCUUAUUGGCAGUGGUACGGAAAUUAAUCAAACCAUCCUUUUCUCUGAAUCAUAAACUGUCUCAGUUGGAAACGAUCCCAGAAGUCAUCUCGGCCAAGCCGUACUGGAAAAAGUGCUCCGGGACGACAUCCCCAAGUGUGGUCACCCGGUCCUUGCCCGACCGGGCAAGCCUCCCAGGCGAACCCUUCCGCUUUGGGAGCGUUCUGAUGGGUGGUGGGAAGAGAUUCCCGGCCUCCGGCCGCCACUGAUCUGUCUUCUGCCCUCCGGGGCCAAACGGAAUAAAUCUGAUUCUCCCUCCCCAGCCCCCUGAGCCAGGGCUCCAGGCCGCAUCCUCGGUGCCCCCCGGGCACGCGCUCUAAAGCACUGUUUUCAGAGAGGUUUCCCAGGGUUCCAAAGUCGAAGGCAGUAGGAUAGCGAGCCGGGACUGCCCGGCACCGGGUGACUCGCUUCCCGAUCCGGCCCCAGUCCCCCGGGCUGAGAAAGGACGGGCGAACCGGGUGACUUCUGGUCGUUCCAACUGGACAGACAGCUCCAUGGCCCCCCGACCCUCGCUCUCCCGCCGCCAUCUUCGUGCUGUGAGCCUCGCUGUGCUGCUGCUAUCUAAAUGUCGCUCCCCUCUCACGUCGCCCGCGCUAACGGCCCCCGAAAGUGUUUCUCCUGCCGCUAUUUUCUCACAGUUGGAAAACCUGCCUUUGUUACUCCCGUGGCGAUGAUGGUGUUUUGUUCCCUCCCGACUUUGUGGACUCCGUGACUUGCUUAAUGUUCUCUGUAUUGUUCGUGUGACUCCCCUGCGUGUCCUUUGGGUGUCCCCGAAAAUUUGCCUUUGAUUUCUAGUCCCUGAGACUCAGCCGUGUCAGAGCCUUCUCUGGCCCCUUGUAUGUUGUGUCGUGCGUAACCUUGACGCUGUGAUCAUCGUCCGAAAGACUGUCAAAGAUGGAAGCGUUUCUCUCCCAGCUCCUAUGUUCAAUAGCACGGAUACCAAUCAAACGAAUUAAAACAUCACGGCUUUCUAUUCUGCAUCGGCCUCCGCUUGUCUCAUUCUGUUCCCGGCGCUUCUCGGAGGGGUCCCUGGCCUUCCCGGGGCUGACAGAUGGACCGGCCCCAGGCCGCAACCCUCGCCCUCGGGACCAUCCCUCCUCCCUCCCCCGUGGUUCGGAGCCUCUCCCCCCACUUCCAUCCCUGGGGGAG
rnacentral:lncRNA from 1 species